GACGAACGCUGGCGGCGUGCUUAACACAUGCAAGUCGAACGGUGAAGGGGUCUGCUUUUGUGGGCCCUGGAUGAGUGGCGAACGGGUGAGUAACACGUGAGUAACCUGCCCCCUUCUUCUGGAUAACCGCAUGAAAGUGUGGCUAAUACGGGAUAUUCUGGGUCUGUCGCAUGAUGGGUCUGGGAAAGAUUGCGCCUUUGGGUGUUUUUGGUGGGGGGUGGGCUCGCGGCCUAUCAGCUUGUUGGUGGGGUGAUGGCCUACCAAGGCGGUGACGGGUAGCCGGCCUGAGAGGGUGGACGGUCACACUGGGACUGAGACACGGCCCAGACUCCUACGGGAGGCAGCAGUGGGGAAUAUUGCACAAUGGGCGCAAGCCUGAUGCAGCGACGCCGCGUGAGGGAUGGAGGCCUUCGGGUUGUAAACCUCUUUCGCCAGUGAAGCAGGCCUGCUCCUUGUGGGUGGGUUGACGGUAGCUGGAGAAGAAGCGCCGGCUAACUACGUG
rnacentral:rRNA from 1 species